rnacentral:rRNA from 1 species
GAGCAGAGUAGUUGUGGAGCGGGUCGUGGGAGAGACGGUUGGUUAGCAUGGGCUGGACGGGAAGGUGAUGCUUGCGAUGGCGACCAAGCCGGCGGGCAAGGCAGGGGCGACCAUGGCCAUCGGGGUGUUUUCAAGGGAGAGCGAGGCAACCGCCAUCACGCAACUGAAGAAGUUGAAACCCGGGGCGAAGUUGGUCAUCAUGGCCAGCAUGAAAGUUGACAAACCUAAAUGCCGGUGAUAGGUUCGCUGCUGUCGCGCCGUCUUUAAACUUGGUGGAGACGCAGAAGCAGUGGCAGAGCUAGGAUCAAGCCACGACCCGGGCAAGCCCCAGGCCAAUCACUUGGUACAAUGCUAAACAGUGUAAAAUCCGCUACAGUAAACAAGCCUGAGGACCUAGGCCGCCGCCUGGGCAGCUUGGGGCUUGUCUCCGCCACUGCGCAGAAGGAGAGCGGUGGCGCUGUGAAGACCUCGAUGACUGCUGCCAUGACCACGACCAUGACGAUUGUGUUGGUAAUAAAGAUACUAAUUGUAUACAAAUCCCCCAGCUUCGAAAACAUUAGAUUAUCCAACUUAUUAUUCAAAUUUUUGAUUCAAG